UGGGAAACUUCAUAUGCCUUGGAGACAAAAAAAAAAAAAAAAGAAAAGAAAAGAAAAGAAAAAGAAAACUUUGGCUUAUUACACUCUUUAUCUUAUGUUCUCAGAUACUUUUUGCAUGAUUUACCUGGGCAUUUUCCUCUAAAGAAGAUGGAGUUUGAGAAUUCCAGCAGACUGAUUUAGAGAUUGUGAGAGACCAGGGACUCAUCUCUUUGGUUCUACACUGAAUCUCAAGCUCUCAACUCACAAGUUACCUUGUUAGAGGUCAUGCCACAUCCAGGACAAGCCAGGGUCAGUGCUUAGGAAUCCUGUCGUCAGAGGGAGAUGGUGAGCCAUGUGGAAACGGAGUCAGCGUGAUUCUUUACAUGGUUAGCGUUCUGCUGGAGGUGGGGUGUAAGGUUUCUUAAGGAAGGACAUUUAUCGUGAUUAAAAUUGCUCAGAGCUUGCUUCAUUGUGUAAUUCUGAUACUGUUAUAUGUGAUUUUGGCAAGAGGGGGGUAUUAAAGGGGACAGAAAAUCCCAGACGAUGGCAUGGAAGGGCACAUGGUGUAGAUGCUACCUCAAGACAAGGGGCUGUGGCAGCAGGAGAACACCCGCUGAUUGGUCAUACUCCCAGUCAGAAAUGCCUCCUGGUUAUCUCCUAAGAAGGACAGCUGAGAGCACAAAUGCCCAAGGACAGUGACUUUCUGUUAGCCCACCAUCAUUCUAUAAUAUUUAGCAUGUAGGUCCAAGAACAAACUAGUAAAAGGCGUAUUUGGGAGUUGAUGUUUUUCUGGGAAAUAAAGUGUAAGGUAUCCUCCAGGACAAAAAUGUUAAGAAGAGAGUCUAAUGAUGUGUACCCCCUAAAAGCCAAUGAUUCCAUUCCUUGCACAUUCUCUAUAGCAAUGUCUAUGUAUGUGCGUAAACAUUCUUAGCAACAUUAUCCAUGAUAGCACAACACUGAAAACAAUCCGCAUGUCCAUCAACAGUAGAACAGAUAAGCAAAGUAUGAUGGAUUCCUAUAAUGCUACGUUGCACAGCAAUAAGAAUGAACAAACUACAGGUACAUAUAAUAAUGUGAUGAAUUUCACAUAGCAUUGAGGUUAAGAACUUAGAAAAAACCCCAGUAUGUAUAAUAUGAUUCCAUAUAUAUAAAGUUCAAAACCAAGUGAAAUUAACUGAUGGCAUUAGAAGAUGGGGUGGUGGUUAACUCUGAGAGGACGGUGGGUGCGGUAGUGUUGGUGAGUGAAGGGGUCGUGGUUACACAAAUAUGUUCAUUCUGUGAGUGUUCAUUAAACUAUAUGCUUAA